UUACGGGAGGCAGCAGUGGGGAAUAUUGCACAAUGGGGGAAACCCUGAUGCAGCAACGCCGCGUGAGUGAUGAAGGUUUUCGGAUCGUAAAGCUCUGUCUUUGGGGAAGAUAAUGACGGUACCCAAGGAGGAAGCCACGGCUAACUACGUGCCAGCAGCCGCGGUAAUACGUAGGUGGCGAGCGUUAUCCGGAUUUACUGGGCGUAAAGGGAGCGUAGGCGGAUGAUUAAGUGGGAUGUGAAAUACCCGGGCUCAACUUGGGUGCUGCAUUCCAAACUGGUUAUCUAGAGUGCAGGAGAGGAGAGUGGAAUUCCUAGUGUAGCGGUGAAAUGCGUAGAGAUUAGGAAGAACACCAGUGGCGAAGGCGACUCUCUGGACUGUAACUGACGCUGAGGCUCGAAAGCGUGGGGAGCAAACAGGAUUAGAUACCCUGGUAGA
rnacentral:rRNA from 1 species